GCUGUCCCUGUCACCCCAGGUCUCCCAAACAUCUCUCUUUUAUUACAGGAAAAGUGUGAUGCUGUGUGGAAAAGCUGAUGUUCCUGGCAACACACACGUUCCCACUGCGAAACUGCUCAGAUAAGCUAUUUUCCAUUUCCAUUGUGACCCAGAGACUCCUGGGGAUUCAGGAACUCUCUGCUUACAUUUCUCUCUAAGCCUUAAAGUGCGGCUUUAGCCCUGGUGCUGUCAGAAGGCAGGUCAGACCAUCUCUCCUCUCCCGUCCAGCCCAGGGAGGCUGGGGAGGAUGCGGCCCCACCUCCCUCUCCAUGGUGCCUCUGUGUCUCCCUAGGUGUGACCCCUCCCGUGCUGGCUUUGCUCCCGUGGCGGCCCUUGAGGUUGGAUAGGAUGAAGGCAGUGCCCGAGGCCGUGGAGCUUUGGGCCAAGCUGCUUGGUUUUCAGCCCACAGGUCUAGUUAGAGGCAGCAUCUGUGGACCAGCUCGCAGGAGGUGGGGUGACCAGCUCCUGACCAAGCCACGCUCUCUUCACAUCCACAGGGUCCUUUCUGUGCCCUUCCUCUCUGAACCUACGUUGCUUGUGGAUAAAUCAGAUGGGGGCUUUUGUUCUUGGGCCAUGGGAGACCACGUGGGCCUCCUCAGGGUGCUGCGGGUCUGCAUACGCUUGGUUCCAGGGGCGCGGAGGGGACUGGCCGAGGUUUCUGCCUGUGCCUGGUGACCCUCAGUGCUGCACCAGC
rnacentral:lncRNA from 1 species